rnacentral:rRNA from 1 species
AUUGAACGCUGGCGGCAUGCUUUACACAUGCAAGUCGAACGGUAACAGGCCGCAAGGUGCUGACGAGUGGCGAACGGGUGAGUAAUGCAUCGGAACGUGCCCAGUCGUGGGGGAUAACUACUCGAAAGAGUAGCUAAUACCGCAUACGAUCUAUGGAUGAAAGCGGGGGACCGUAAGGCCUCGCGCGAUUGGAGCGGCCGAUGUUAGAUUAGGUAGUUGGUGGGGUAAAGGCUCACCAAGCCAACGAUCUGUAGCUGGUCUGAGAGGACGACCCGCCACACUGGGACUGAGACACGGCCCAGACUCCUACGGGAGGCAGCAGUGGGGAAUUUUGGACAAUGGGCGCAAGCCUGAUCCAGCAAUGCCGCGUGCAGGAAGAAGGCCUUCGGGUUGUAAACUGCUUUUGUACGGAACGAAACGGCUCUGGUUAAUACCCGGGGCUAAUGACGGUACCGUAAGAAUAAGCACCGGCUAACUACGUG